GAUGAACGCUAGCGGCAGGCUUAAUACAUGCAAGUCGAGGGGCAGCAGUUUUGUAGCAAUACAGAAGCUGGCGACCGGCAAACGGGUGCGGAACACGUACGCAACCUUCCUUUAACUGGAAGAUAGCCCACCGAAAGGAGGAUUAAUACUCCAUAACAUAUUGAAGAGGCAUCUCUUUGAUAUUAAAGCUCCGGCGGUUAAAGAUGGGCGUGCUUCUGAUUAGGAAGUUGGCGGGGUAACGGCCCAACAAGCCUUCGAUCAGUAGCGGAUGUGAGAGCAUGAUCAGCCAAACGGGAACUGAGACACGGGCCCGACUCCUACGGGAGGCAGCAGUAAGGAAUAUUGGUCAAUGGACGCAAGUCUGAACCAGCCAUGCCGCGUGGAGGAUGAAGGCCCUCUGGGUUGUAAACUUCUUUUCUUUGGGACGAAACCCCUGUUUCUACGGGGACUGACGGUACCAGAGGAAUAAGCACCGGCUAACUCCGUGCCAGCCGCCGCGGUAAGAC
rnacentral:rRNA from 1 species